GCCACCCAUAAAGACAGCCUCCACGCGGCGGGUGGUGGACAACAGCUUCAAAAGUCGUUGACGAAUGUCUUA
rnacentral:ribozyme from 1 species